rnacentral:lncRNA from 1 species
UUUUUUUUUUUGGUUGGGUUGUUUGUUUUUUUCAUAUAAAGCUGCAUGAGCUAUUUGUAUAUUUUGGAAAUUAAUCUCUUAUUAGUCACAUUAUUUGCAAAUAUUUUUUCCCAUUCCAUAGGUUGUAUUUUCAUUUUGUUUAUGGUUGCCUUUGCUCUGCAAAAGAUUUUAAGUUUAAUUAGGUCCAACUUGUUUAUUUUUGCUUUUGAUUCUAUUACUCUAGAAAACAAAUUAAAAAAUAUUGCUAUAAUUAAUGCCAAAGAGUGUCUGCCUAUGUUUUCCUCUAGUUAUAUGGUAUGUGAUCUUAAAUUUAAGUCUUUAAUCCAUUUUAAGUUUAUUUUUGUAUACAGUAUUAGAAAGUGCUCUAAUUUCAUUCUUUUGCAUUUAACUGUCUAGUUUUCCCUUCAAUAAGCAACACUUAUUGAAGAGACUGUCUUUUCCCCAUUGUAUAUUCUUACCUAUUUUGUCAUAGAUUAUUGACCAUAGGUGUAUGGGUUUAUUUCUGGGCUUUUUAUCCUGUUCCACUGAUCUAUGUGUCCAUGUUAUUGUUUGUUUGUUUAGUUUGUUUUUGUGCCAGGACCAUACUGUUUUGAUGACUAUAGCUUUGCAGUAUAAUUUGAAGUCAGGGAACAUGAACCUCCACCUCUGUUCUUUCUCAAGAUUAUUUUGGCUAUUCAGGAUCCUGUGUGUUUCCAUAUAAACUUUUAAUUUUUUUGUUCUAGUUCUACGAAAAAUGUCAUUUAUAAUUUGAUAGGGAUUGACUGAAUCUAUAGAUUGCAUUGGGUAGUAUGAUCAUUUUCACCAUAUCAGUUCUUCCAACCCAAGAAUAUGGUAUAUCUUUCCAUCUGUUUGUGAAAUCUUCAAUUUCUUUCAUCAGUGUCUUACAGUUUUCAGAGUACAAGUCUUUUGCUUCCUUAGGUAGGUUUAUUCCUAGAUAUUUUGUUCUUUUUGAUGUGAUGGUAAAUGGGAUUAUUGCUUAAUUUCUCUUUUUAAUACUUCAUUAUUAGUGUACAGAAAUGCAAUAGAUUUCUGUGUAUUACAUUAAUAUCCUGCAACUUUACCAAAUUCACUGAUGAGUUUUAGAAGUUUUCUGGUGGCACCCUUAGGAUUUUCUAUGGAUAGACCAAGAGAUUUCUAUACUAAGUGAAGUCAAACACUCAGACAGAGAAAGACAAAUAUCAAAUGAUAUCGCUUAUAUGUGGAACCUUAAACAAAGGAACUCAUUUACAAAACAUAAACAGACUCACAGAAAAGAAAAAGAACUUAUGGUUACCUAAGGGGAAAGGGGGAAAGGGAUAAAUUAGGUAUUUGGAAUUAACAGGUACAUACUACUAUAUAUAAAAUAAAUAACAAAGACCAACUGUAGCACAGGGAAUUAUAUUCAGUAUCUUGUAAGAACUUAUAGUGGAAAAGAAUGUGAAAAAGAGUACAUAUGCAUAUCUAUAUGUAAAACUGAAUUACUUUUGCUGUACACCUGAAACACUCUAAAUAAAGAAUAUACUGAUGAAAAAUUAAAAUUAAGAAAAAAGAAAAGAAAAAAACUAUUCAAUGCCAUAGUUAAGAGGUCUACUACCAUACAACUUUUGGGCCCAGGCUAUUUUAAUAUUGUCUCCCCAAACACAAUCAUAGAGCCCCAUAGCCUUUCUUUAUCCAGGACUUCUGUAUUACUUUUGCUAUUCACAACAUGAUUUCAGAGAUCUCCCUCAAAAAAAAAAAGAAAUGCAAACCAAUCCAAGUUGUGGUGCCACAAGUAUCAUAUCAACAAUAAAAAAAUUCUUCAAAAUAAUGUGGUAUAUAUACACAAUGGAAUACUACUCAGCCAUAAAAAAGAAUGACAUAAUGCCAUUUGCAGCAACAUGGAUGGAACUAGAGAAUCUCAUACUGAGUGAAAUGAGCCAGAAAGACAAAGACAAAUACCAUAUGAUAUCACUUAUAACUGGAAUCUAAUAUCCAGCACAAAUGAACAUCUCCUCAGAAAAGAAAAUCAUGGACUUGGAGAAGAGACUUGUGGCUGCCUGAUGGGAGGGGGAGGGAGUGGGAGGGAUCGGGAGCUUGGGCUUAUCAGACACAACUUAGAAUAGAUUUACAAGGAGAUCCUGCUGAAUAGCAUUGAGAACUAUGUCUAGAUACUCAUGUUGCAACAGAAGAAAAGGUGGGGGAAAAAAUGUAAUUGUAAUGUAUACAUGUAAGGAUAACCUGACCCCCUUGCUGUACAGUGGGAAAAUGUUUAUUAUUUUGACACUGAGCUGGCUUUCUCAAAGCAUUUUCACUCAAAGGAAAUAUUAUGAACUACUCAAAUAAAUAUUAUGCUAUUUAAAAUAUUCUUAGUUUUGCUUAGAAAACUAGCAUACUGACAAGAUUUGCACACUAAAUCUCUCAAAAGGAAUCUUCCAACUUCAUUAAUAAAUUUAAAACUCUACUACCAAACUUGCAACAGAAAGAAAAAUCUCAACUUAUGAAAGAGUAAUUGGUUUUUACUGCCCUUCCCAUGAACCCUAUGUAGAUUGCCCUUUAGGUGCCAAUUUUGGAGGAUUGAUAUUAGAUUUUAUUAAGAGAAUAAUAGGAAAUGAAGUUCAAAAUAUUUAAUCACUGUAUAGUAAGGACACAAAUCCAUCUGAAAAGACAUUUGUCUAGUGUUGGAGGCCAGUUUCAGUCCCUAGCUGGGUCAGACAUUAUCCCUUGAUUUGCCAGAUAGUGAGAAGUAUGGAGGUUUGCCAGGCCAUCGAGAUUACUGGGGGAAUUCAAGACAGUUAUUAUUUAUCAACUUUUGUGAAAAUAUAACAAUACAGCUAUCAAUGAGCUAGUAUGCACCAACUAAAUAUCAACUAAAAUAGAAUUUGUUCUCCUUCAUCUUCAUGGACCCACAAGCCUUACCUGAAAAACUCAAUCCCUUCACAGGACAUCAAGCAAAACAAAUGCAUUGUACUUUUACUCAAGAUUUAUAAGUCACAAGAAGGGGCCAAAGAUCUUAUUACAUAACAUGCAGCUCUUUUCAGGUCUCUCCAAUGUGUCUCCAGCCAAAGAAUCUUUGUAUGUCUUUAUUCCCUUGUCCACUUAACCUCAAAGGUAGCAGAGAAAAAUAUCAUUUUCCUGAAUAUUUUCCUCUUGCCUUUAAAUCAGGAUUUCUCAACCUUGGCACUACUGAUAGGUUGGAUUAGAUAAUGCUCUAUUCUGGAAAUGGGGGGAUGUGGGGAUGGCUUGUACACUGUAGGACAUCUAGCACCAUCCCUGGACUCCACCCACCAAUUUCUAGUAACAUCAUCCCUCUCAAGUUAUGACAACCAAAAAUGUUUCCAGACGUUGCUAAAUGUCUCUUAGGGGGCAAAAAAAUUACACUAAAUUUAUUACUCAUUUCUUACUCAAAGUAAUUUAAAAGUUCUAUUUUAGUGCAUUUAAACCUCCAUACAUAUAUCCACAAGUAGCUCAGAAAACAAAGGACACAUGCUCCUAGUGGGUGAAGGGGAUUCUAUUCUGUUGUUGUUGAUGGCCAGAGGGUUUCUGUAGGACUAGAAAAACACCUUGGAUGCGAUAGGUAUUCAGUGAGACCAUGAACUUUAUUAUUCCAAGUAGUUUUUGUUUUGUGUUUGGUAUGUUGAAAAUAUCUUGAAAGAUAAAACACACUUUAUUAUUGUGUGGUAUGUAAAAUCUUUAUGAUGACAAGGUCUAAAAUCAAUCCUAUAUGUAAUAUUAGAAUUAUGUAUUAGUCUAUUAUGUAAUAGUCUGAGAUCUUUUUGCUUGGUUUGCACAAUCCUUAGGAGUGAGAGAAAUUAGGGUUAGCAUGCCGUUUGAAGACUGCUUAGCCAUUCUGUUUGGAUAUUCUUCCUUCCUUGUUCAAUCAUUUUUUACCCUUAUUGUAAUUUUUAUUCCUCUCAUUAUCCAAGUCAUAUGUAGGUGUCAUUAAUUGUUAAGCUCAGAACCAAUACUAACAUCUAGUUUACUUUACAAGUAAACUCAGAUCAUUAUGAGAAAUUUCUUUCAAAAUAUAUUCUGCUUUUUAUAGCAAAUUAUCUUUGCAUUGUAGUAUGUUUUGUUUUAGCAAAAUUCUCUUUUAACCAAAUCAGAUUUCCUAAGAAAAUACUAUCUACAAAAAUAAUCCAAUCAUUGACAAAAAUAAAGUGGGUAAAGUUUGUAUUUGAUUUUCUGGACUUUUGACAAUCAUUAAAUUAAGAUUUAUGGAGAUUACAUUCUUUGUUCAUUAUUCCAUGUUAAUUAAACUAUCAGAAACAUUGUUUUAAUAAUACUGACUUUAUCUUCAUAAAGGCACUCAAUUAUAUUUUGUAAUUUAAAAGUAGGAUUCUAAUUCACAAUAAGAAAAUUGAAUAUUAAUUCACCAUCAUUUCUUAGAAUAGCAAAUAGAAAUUUUAUUUCUAGAAAAACACAGAAAUAUGAAUUACUAAAUUUAUACAUUAAGCCUUUUAUUAAUUCCUUUUAAUAGUUAAUACAUACAGUUAAAAUACUUCAUACCAGAACCAUAAUUAUCAUCAAUAAAUAUGCUUAACUUGAAAUAACAUAUAUUUCCUGAUUCUGGUUUUCAUGAAAAUAUCAUGGAAGAAAUAUGUAGCAAACCUCAAAAGCAUGCAAAAAACUACUCUGGAAUAUUUUACCAUAACAUGUUUGCCUUUUAUCUAUAUACACAUAUGGAUUUAUGUUCUACCAUUUAUUUUCAUGAAAUUUAGUCCAUGAAAACUCUAGAGCCAUUCAUUGCCAGAAUUAUCUAAUUAGGAACAUAAUUUUAAAAGGGUAAUUUUGAUAAGGUUCCUUUUUUGCCCAGAAUAUGACAUAGAAUAGACCUGAAAGUACUGAUAUAAACUCUAUUGAAGCAUUAUCAGUGAUAUUGUCCCUCCUGAUGUUUUUAACUCUUGACUUUUUUUUUUCUUGGCAAAGCUAGAGGAUAAAAACAUUUCUAAUUUAAAUCAAUCUCUUUUAAUGCAAAUUCCUCCUCUAUGGAGAAUUCAAAUUGGGAAGAUGUAGUGGAAAUAACUAAUGGCAAGUGUUUCUUUCCAAUGAAAUAUAAAUAUUAAAAAAUGCUGAUGACAGAACAGCCAAAUAUUCCAGAAAUAACAACAGCUGAUCUUGAUAAAAGUAAAAAGAAACAUUUUAAAACAGAAGUAGUUUAAUUUAAUCAUUUUCUGUUGGAUUUGUCUUACUUUUAGCUAGCUAUGUCACCCUAUUAAAGGCUUAUUUUCUGUUUUACUGCUGAUGGAUUUUGCACAGGCUGGUGAAAUAUCGUCCCCUACUGUUCAAGUCUGAUAAAUUGAUCAUAAGAAAAGUUUUUGUUUCAGCCUAUAAAAUGUGGCUACCCCGAGAACUCUGUGUGGAUCAUAGAAUGCAAAGAAUAGAGUUCCUUCAUAUAGUUCUAAUCACAUAGCCAUUAAAGUAUCUAUUUUAAAUUAAUUCAGUUGAGGCAUUUUCUAAUUGAGUUGAUUACUGCCAUGCUGGAUAAUUUUAACCAUAAACCUAAGAAAGGAUAUGUAUUAUUUUACCUAUCAUUUUUAGUGUGAAGAAAUACUAUAUUUAGCAAAUAAAUAUAUUAUUCCACUUAAAAUAUUAUAUUCCUAUUCAUGACUACUUUAUUAAACUGUGUGCAUAUAAAACUGGAUUUUUUUUCAACAACUCACUUAUACAUUAUUGUGUAAUUCAUUAGAGAAAAAAGUAUUUUUAAUAUAAAAUAUUUAGAAGGCAUAAUUUAAUUAUAAUAUAAGCAACUCUUCCAAUCUAUAGGCCUGCAAUUUGAUGAAUUUUAAUAGAAGGAAUAUUUUAAAUAUAUGCUUACAUGUUUAAAAGCCAUUUAUCCUCAUUUCAACCCUUUUUUGGAUAUAUUAUUACAUGUUUUGGGAGGCUGGACUUAUAUCUAUCCAUAGGGCUUUUAUACUUGUAACUGAAAGAUAAGUAUCUAAAGCAAUUGUGCUGUUUGAAUUUAUAUUAAAUUGUAAAAAUUAACAAAAGAUACCUUUUUGAAGAAUUAUCUACAGAGUGUUAAGGGUCUCGUUCUCUUGCAGUUAUUUUUUUACUGCACUUCUUUUUUACUAGUCUUUUAAACAUUUGGUUGAAAGAAAAGAAAAAAAUACCUCGAACUGAUUUAUUCUUAAGCAAAUUACCUUUAAAAUCAAAGAUAAUUUUCUUUCCAUUUCUGCUCUAACCAACCAAAGGGCAACAAAGCUUUUUUAUUUUAUCUAAAAAUUGACAUCUCAGUCAUUAUUGAAACUAAGAGUGAGUAUGUCUAUAAGGAGCAGAGACAGAAAUGCAAAAUUCAAAGCCAUGGGUGUCAGUUUUGCAGUCUACCCUUCACUCAUAGAAGAAUAUUUAGAGUUCUAUUGGGAGCAUUUUAAAAAUUUAAACAAACAGUAUUGUAUGAAAAAAAUAAAGAACAUACAAUUUUCAUAUUGUAUGAAAAAAAUAAAAAGCAGUCAAUACAGGAGAAUAGACAGUAGUUAAAUAGGUUAAAAAAAUUGAUAAUACGCCAACUUAGACCUCAUAGACUACUUAUAAAUUCCAUAAAGUCAGUGUAGAGAUGGCCUGGGUAACU